rnacentral:piRNA from 1 species
GCCCUUUCGGUAUCUUCCUCUGCUUGCUUGC